ensembl:lncRNA MIR663AHG MIR663A host gene
GGUGACGCGUGCGCCGGCCGGCCGCCGAGGGGCUACCGUUCUGCCUCCGACCGGUCGUGUGUGGGUUUACUCGGAGACGGAAUGAAGUUGAUAAUAGUGAGACCUUGUUGGUACAAGACUAUGUAACAUAACCUGCGCUUCUCAACAAAGAAUUGCUUUUCUGACUUCUGCACUCAAUAGCAAGACAAAUCUCUCCUCUGCCUUCUCCUUAUCAGACUACUCAACAUGAAGGCAAUAAGAAUGAAGACCUCUAUGUAUAAUAAUUGACUUCCACUUAAUAAAUAAGGUUACUUGGUACACUGGUCGACAAAACCUUGAAAUGUUGAUGUUUAAGGGCUGUUGAUUGCUGGCAGCAAAGAAGUCCAACUGUGCUGGUACCCGAGAUAGCGUCUCCACAUUUUCUUCCAGGAUCAUCACCUUUGUUCUAAAUAGCUCCCACAUAGUGUGAACAGAAGUCAUAUGUUUUAGAUUUUCUGCCUUGGCACCCAGGAAACCAGUAUGAUUGAGUAAACAUAUUAAACUUCCUCUGCAUUUCCAGCCUGAACAGAUGUUGAGUACAAGCUGAUCCACCUACGUUCAACCUGAGAGAGUCCACAUCCACAGACUGUUUCAUUUCCCUUUUUCAAUUUACAUAGAAGCAUAGAUUCUUGCUGGCAUAUACAAAUGCGCCAUUUAAGGCAAUCAAAAAUGGUUCCACAUCUCAUCUGAUUUCCACAAUUGUUGCUGUAACGAUGGACUACUGAGGAGAGAGACAAUUUCUCUGGCACAUCUUCCCACAUUUUAGCAACAUGUUCAUGGAGAGCCAAUAUUCAGUAAUUACAGCCCAAUUCCUCACAAUUUCACAAUUCGCUAACAAUAUGCAUUUUCACAAUGUAAAGCUGAUUUUCCUUUAACCAAAUCAAACAUGAAAAGAUAGCUGCAUGCAAUGGGCAAUCUAGAUCAUUAGAAGAUUGAUGUAAAAUUAGAGGACACUGAGACUGGAAUAGAUUGCAAACUUCAGGGAGCUCAGAAAACUUGUAAACUCUACAUUUUGAGGAAAUAUGUUGUCGAUGCUUUUGCAACUCUAUGCAGUAACUUAACAAAUAAAGCCUUAAAGUAACU